AACGAACGCUGGCGGCAGGCUUAACACAUGCAAGUCGAACGGGUGCAGCAAUGCAUCAGUGGCAGACGGGUGAGUAACACGUGGGAACCUUCCUAGGGGUACGGAACAACUCAGGGAAACUUGAGCUAAUACCGUAUACGUCCGUGAGGAGAAAGAUUUAUCGCCCUUAGACGGGCCCGCGUCGGAUUAGCUAGUUGGUGGGGUAACGGCCUACCAAGGCGACGAUCCGUAGCUGAUCUUAGAGGAUGAUCAGCCACACUGGGACUGAGACACGGCCCAGACUCCUACGGGAGGCAGCAGUGGGGAAUCUUGGACAAUGGGCGCAAGCCUGAUCCAGCCAUGCCGCGUGAGUGAAGAAGGUCUUCGGAUUGUAAAGCUCUUUUGCCAGGGACGAUAAUGACGGUACCUGGAGAAUAAGCCCCGGCAAACUUCGUGCCAGCCGCCGCCGCGG
rnacentral:rRNA from 1 species